rnacentral:tRNA from 1 species
ACAAUGGUGGUUCAGUGGCAGAAUUCUGGCCUUCCACACAGGAGACCCAGGUUCGAUUCCCGGCCAGUGCA